rnacentral:rRNA from 1 species
AUGGCUAAUCCUGGAAAAGAGCAUUGGAAAGCAAUUCAGUGGAUUUUCAGAUACCUGCGUGGUACUUCUAAUGCUUACUUACAGUUUGGGAAAACUGGAGAUGGACUUGUUGGUUUUGUUGAUUCUGAUUUUGCUAGUGAUUUGGAUAAGAGAAGAUCACUCACAGGUUAUGUUUUCACCAUUGGUGGUUGUGUUGUGAGUUGGAGAGCAACUUUGCAGUCUAUUGUGGCUUGUUCCACUACUGAUGCCGAGUAUAUGGCUAUUUCUGAGGCAUGCAAAGAAGCUAUCUGGUUGAGAGGUUUGUACACUGAGCUUUGUGGAGAUUCAUCUUGCCCUACCAUAUUUUCUGACAGUCAAAGUGCCAUAUAUCUUACAAAGGAUCCAAUGUAUCAUGAGAGGACAAAUCACAUUGAUGUUAGAUUUCACUAUAUUUGA